rnacentral:rRNA from 1 species
GUGGGGAAUAUUGCGCAAUGGGGGAAACCCUGACGCAGCGACGCCGUGUGAGGGAAGAAGGCUUUCGGGUCGUAAACCUCUGUCAGAAAGGAAGAACCUCCCAAGUCCGAAUAGGGCUUGGGACUGACGGUACUUUCAAAGGAAGCACCGGCUAACUCCGUGCCAGCAGCCGCGGUAAUACGGAGGGUGCAAGCGUUAAUCGGAAUCACUGGGCGUAAAGCGCGCGUAGGCCGCUUUGUAAGUCGGACGUGAAAGCCCUCGGCUCAACCGGGGAACUGAGUUCGAUACUGCGAGGCUUGAGUCCUGGAGAGGGUGGCGGAAUUCCGGGUGUAGGAGUGAAAUCCGUAGAUAUCCGGAGGAACACCGGUGGCGAAGGCGACCACCUGGACAGGUACUGACGCUGAGGCGCGAAAGCGUGGGGAGCAAACAGGAUUAGAAACCCCUGUAGUCC